CCCUUAGAUGUUCUGGGCCGCACGCGCGCUACACUGAUGAAUUCAACGAGCUCCUAACCUAGGCCGAAGGGUCCGGGUAAUCUUUGAAAUUUCAUCGUGAUGGGGAUAGAUUAUUGCAAUUAUUAAUCUUCAACGAGGAAUUCCUAGUAAGCGCGAGUUAUCAGCUCGCGUUGAUUACGUCCCUGCCCUUUGUACACACCGCCCGUCGCUCCUACCGAUUGAAUGGUCCGGUGAAAUGUUCGGACCGCGACAAGGCGGACGGUUCGCUGUCAGCUUUGCUGCGGGAAGUUCAUUAAACCUUAUCAUUUAGAGGAAGGAGAAGUCGUAACA
rnacentral:rRNA from 1 species